GAUGAAGAACGUAGCGAAAUGCGAUAAGUAGUGUGAAUUGCAGAAUUCAGUGAAUCAUCGAAUCUUUGAACGCACAUUGCGCCCCUUGGUAUUCCAUGGGGCAUGCCUGUUCGAGCGUCAUUUGUACCUUCAAGCUCUGCUUGGUGUUGGGUGUUUGUCUCGCCUCUGCGUGUAGACUCGCCUCAAAACAAUUGGCAGCCGGCGUAUUGAUUUCGGAGCGCAGUACAUCUCGUGCUUUGCACUCAUAACGACGACGUCCAAAAGUACAUUUUUACACUCUUGACCUCGGAUCAGGUAGGGAUACCCGCUGAACUUAAGCAUAUCAAUAAGCGGAGGA
rnacentral:misc_RNA from 1 species